GUGCCUACUACGUACUGUGUCUCAUUCUUGCAGUGGAAAUCCACCCACUUGCCCUGAGGAAGCUUUCAUUCCAGGAGAAAGUAACAAAGCACUGAUGCUCUACCACUGAACUACGCCUCAAGCUACCUUUCCCUAAGUGGCCCAGGUGGAACUAAACUCGUGAUCCUCACCGUUUGGGACUACUGGCAUGUGCUACCACACCGGAGAAGACAGCGGGGGUCUGAGCGCCCUGGAAUAACACAUACAGCCUCUAGGCGUCUCUCAGAUGAUCUAAGCUACGACUGGGAUAAGCCCACGCCAACCGUGGGAGCCAAACACCUAAACAAGACGGUCUACCGCAUCACAUUACCACUUCUGGGGACACUAAGAAACUGGCAUUUUGGGAGACAAAUACUGCAGGAAAAGGAGCCACAGGGAGGAGGAGAGCCCAGCCCUGUGAGACUUCAUGUCAGUGAGAACACACCUUCCUGUGCCCUUAGGCUGCCGGUCAGCUGCAGCUACACUCGGUACA